rnacentral:rRNA from 1 species
UACGAAGGGGGCUAGCGUUGCUCGGAAUUACUGGGCGUAAAGGGCGCGUAGGCGGCACUGUUAGUCAGGCGUGAAAGUCCUGGGCUCAACCUGGGAACUGCGCUUGAUACGGCAGAGCUAGAGGAUGGAAGAGGGUCGCGGAAUUCCCAGUGUAGAGGUGGAAUGCGCAGAUAUCAGGAGGAACACCGAUGGCGAAGGCAGCUCGCUGGGACGGUACUGACGCUGAGACGCGAAAGCGUGGGGAGCAAACAGG